CCCUCUCUCGUGUCGUGGCGGCGACGACGGCGACGCCAGAUAUGGAGGGACAGAAGCAGAAGUGCCACUGGAGGAAACUGUGGUGGCGUGCUCCCCUCCUCCCUCUCCCCUGUCCAAUGGAUGCUGCCGCAUUAGUUGCAGCGGGUCAAGCUUGGUGGCGACCGGGACCAAACUCACUGCGGCGACGCCAAGAUUCCUGAUCCGACGGGAAGCGGCCCUCUCCCUCCGAUCUCCGUCGGUCCCAGAACCCGGAGGUCACUCUGUAGAUCCGUCGGAUGUACGGACCUGCCUUCCGACUGCAGUUCCGGCGUCCGCGGUGGCGCAGUUUCGCUGCUCAGAUUGUCCAGCUCGUCAGCUGGGCGCUAGAAGCGCCGAAAAGAUCCAUAUACUGAUCGUAAUUUCGUCUACUAAACUGCAACUGUGCAAGCACCUGACAAACUACACCCGAGGCAGGGCCUGCUACAUUGAUUAUAGCUGACGGGGGCAGGAGCUGGGCAUUGAAUCGAUCCGACUGUUUGCUAGCAUCCCGACUACAAUGGCUAGAUGAACGACGUUCUCCUCUGCAUUUUGAAUUUGAUGGCUCCCAUAUAUAAGCCCAUGUCAGCUCAGCUCAUCAGCAUCAUUUCAUGCUCUCGUCGAAGACCACAACAAUGGGUUUAUCCAAGUCUCAGUCUAGCUCCCAACCCCAUCCAUCACACCAUACCGUCAACCAGGCUCCACCGUUGCCUCUCAUCCGUUGCCCGGAAUGCAACGUCGGCUACAUCAGCUGGUUCGUCUCAGCAACCGCAGAAAACCCAGGGAGGCAUUUCUACAAGUGUGGGCGACAUGGGUACGACGGGUGUAGUUUCUGGAAAUGGGAGAACAAGUACCUUCAGUACUUCAGCGCCCGCUGGGGGUAUAUGCUCUCGCACGCAUCGAUGUGUCCGCAUGUAACGCUACUCGAAGAGAACCAGGCGUGGCUCAAGAAGGUAUUCAUCCUGGGCGUAGCGAACCUGGUGCUCAUGGCCAUGAUUUGCCUGCAGAAGUUAUGAAAUAGACCCCUUCUGCGACUGGGCGCAGCUAGGCUCCACGCGUAUCCGUUUGAUCUUCUUGUUCUGCCAGUGUGCUCUCAGGAUCUGCAUGUUUCCGCUAGUUCAUGACGAGCGCCAUUUUUCUGCGCACCAAUCUGCCCCAUAAAAGCUUGCUUAAGAAUAAAUUCUCGUAUCAAUGGUGCA